GCAGUGCUGAUAUGCGUUUUGGCAGCGGCACAAAACUUACAGUAAUAGGCGAGAAUGAUGAAAUCAUACCUCCAGCGGUGGCCAUCUUUUCCCCAUCAAAGCAGGAGAUCCAGCAGAAGAGCAAGGCCACGCUGGUGUGCCUGGCCUCUGGUUUCUACCCUGACCACCUGACUCUGGUCUGGAGGGUGAAUGGUGUGAAAAGGACCGAAGGGGUGGGGACAGACGAGUCCUCCACACAGAAUGGGAGCACCUACUCGCUGACCAGCCGACUGAGGAUGCCAGCCUGGGAGUGGUUCAACCCUCUGAAUCGCUUUGAGUGUGUUGCCAUUUUUUUUCAGAAUGGAACAACAGCCUCAAUAAACAAAUUUAUCCAUGGUGAUGCUGGUUGUGCACUCACAGAAGAGUCGUACUUGCGGUAUGGAAAUUCCCUGAAGCUCACUUACCUCAUCCUCUGUGGCAAAGCAUUGGUCUAUGCAGUUUUGGUGAGUGGUCUGGUGUGGACAGCCAAGACUGGUGUCAAGUUAUCUAGAGAAUAAAUGAAGAGCCCUUGUCAUCACAUCAGCAGGAACAUGACAAGUUUGCUACCUUUCCAUAGCAAAAUAUCUAAGCUUCUACGAACUUCUGAAUAUCAUUUUUUGUAGUUGUCUGUUGCCAUUCUGUUCUUCACUAUUUUGUAAUCACUGCUGAGCUUUCCCUGUACUUCCAUAUCAUAAUGUAUCAUAUUUUCUUGUAACAUAUCUUUAAAAGUAGCACCUUCUUAAUGCUC